GUGGUUUGACCAACCACAGAUCAAAGAUUCAGGGAGAAAACACCAACUGAAUCUGGAGGCCAUCGAGAUGGCUUAGCAGGAAAGGUAAGCCUUGUUCCUACUGAUCCUUCUUCCAGUGUUCUGUGAGGUGUCUGCUACUUACAGGUUUGCAAUAAAACACCUUAAGAAACUGAGGUGCU
rnacentral:lncRNA from 1 species